rnacentral:lncRNA from 1 species
UUUAGAUAUAUUACUUUUUAUUUCCAAAUGGUCAAGUUCUCACUCAUCAAGUAAGUUUAACUUGUAUUUGUUUCAACUUAAUGCUCUAAAAUGUUAUAGUUUCUGGAUUCUUCUAAGAAAGUGAGAAAAAGGGAAUUUGGGGCUCUUGCUAGAGACUUUGUAUUUUAGGCAUUUAUUCAGAAAUGAUAGUUUCUAGAUUAAGAGGCCUGAACAUUUCUUACCUCAAUGUUCUGAGAAAGGAGCAACAAGCAUUAGUUAAGAACAGAGUAAACCACGAGUCAAAGUUAACCCAAUUUUCACAGACUACAAAAGAGAAAAUUAAGUUUUAUCCCAGAAUACUUUGGGGUUCAUGUUCCCACCUGCACCCCUUUACUUCCCGGCCUCAAGGUACAAGCCUUCAGAAACCAGGGAGCUUAUUUGUAUAAAGAACAGAGUAAUGCAGAAAAAAAUACCUGCAGAAGUGAUGGACCUCAAGCAACUGCUGUAGCGACUAGUUUUCAGAAAGCCAGUCUCCCACAAAUGCUUUUGCAGCUCCAUUAUUUUGUACAAAGAGAUGUGAUUAGAUUUACAAGCAGCAAAAAAAGAAUCUUGUGUUUCAAUUCUCCUCUCAAACGAAGUACAAUUUUGUUUUCUAUAUGACUGCUGUCUUGGGUGAAUAUUCUGAGAUCAGGUCCUUGGCAUAACACUAAAACCAAGAGUUGUGAAGUUCGCCCAUGUUAACACUCAAUUUUAUCUUUUUUUUUCUUAAAAAAAAAAAAGAAUCUUGUGCGACAAGAACCACUGAAAGGUAACUUCAGAGUAAAAACCAGAGCUUCUUGUGAAAAUAAGCGUUUCAUCUGACAGGAAUAAAACAUAUUUACAGAAGACAUUAAAAGUUUUAAAGUCUUAAAAUCUACUGGGAAACCUGAUACAAACCAGAUCAGAUUAAAUGUACUUGAAAAUUCAGAGCAAUACAAUACAGAAACAAUUGCAUUUAUAUACAGUUCUAGAAGCAACAAAAACUACAUUAUGCUUGAGAUAUUAAUAAUAAACCAGGGGGGAGGUGUGGACAUGGAAACACUCAGAUGUAUGUUUCCACAGAAGGUUUGAAACUGCUUUGUGACAAAACAGGCAAGAAAAACACUUUUAUCCAAAAUUACUCUUGAGCUCCAACUGCAGCUCUCCGAGGGUGUCCCUCUACGGGCAUGUGUGCAGUCAACCUCGGGCUGCCAGAUCACGAACUAAGCUCCUUUGUGUAUGAAACCCCAUCAGUCCCUUAAUAUCAUCAUGCAGUUUUUAUGUAUUUUUAUUUGUCAGCAAUGGAAUGAAAAAGGAAAAUAAAAGAGUAUAUGCAAGUUAUAUAGAUGAGUAUUGCACUAGAAACAAUUCCAGCACAAGUUACAGAAGAUUCAAAAUUAAAUGUGAAACAUCAAGUAAUGCCAUGAAAAAUUAGCUUCCCACUCCUCCAUUAGAGGUUCAGUUGAUUCAAAUAAUGACACUUCAGAGGAAAGGAAACAUGAGACCUCUUUCCCUCCUGGAUGCCAGAUGCAACACAGGAAGAGUUCUGUUCCAUAACCAAUGUUGGGAACAAACUGACUUGAUUUCCACCUCCAGCAGAAACUCCUAUCAUCUAACCCAACACAAGUUUAGCACACUGUUAAAAGCUCAUCAGAGAUGGCAAGCGUGAAACAACUAGCAGGUCCCUCGCGUAAGGGACAACCCUUGCUUAACAGCCGAGAGCCCCGAUAGCACAUCACUUGGAAACAUGCCCUGCCACUGCCUACAGGUCAUGAUCUACAAAGGGUAUGAAUUUCAAAGGACUGUCAAUCUGACACCUUUUGGCAGUAUUCAAUUCACAGGAGACUUUAAUAAAGCAAAUAAUACUAGUUUGACAAUGUCAGAAUUAUCACAGGCAUCAAUC